rnacentral:lncRNA from 1 species
GAGUUUGGUCAACUUGGAGAAAUAUGGUAAUGCUAGCAUCCAGCUGCACCAGAGACCUCGGAUUGUCACAGUAUUUCUGAACCCAGCUGUCAGUCGAGGCAAAGGUGUGAAAAUGUUUGAGAAAAAUGCAGCACCAUUGCUUCACCUUGCUGGUAUUGUGGUCAACGUUGUGAAGG